rnacentral:rRNA from 1 species
GACGAACGCUGGCGGCGUGCUUAACACAUGCAAGUCGAACGGAAAGGCCCUGCUUUUGUGGGGUUCUCGAGUGGCGAACGGGUGAGUAACACGUGAGUAACCUGCCCUUGACUUUGGGAUAACUUCAGGAAACUGGGGCUAAUACCGGAUAGGAUCUCCUGCUGCAUGGUGGGGGUUGGAAAGUUUCGGCUGUUGGGGAUGGACUCGCGGCUUAUCAGCUUGUUGGUUGGGUAGUGGCUUACCAAGGGUUUGAAGGGUAGGCGGCCUGGGAGGGUGACCGGGCACAAUGGGACUGAGGGACGGCGCAGACUGCUACGGGAGGCAGAAGUGGGGAAUCUUGCACAGUGGGAGGGAGCCUGAUGAAGAAACGCUGCGUGCGGGAUGACGGCCUUCGGGUUGAAAACCGCUUUCGCCUGUGACGAAGCGGGAGUGACGGUAAUGGGUGAAGAAGCACCGGCUAACUACGUG